AACUUUCAACAACGGAUCUCUUGGUUCUGGCAUCGAUGAAGAACGCAGCGAAAUGCGAUAAGUAAUGUGAAUUGCAGAAUUCAGUGAAUCAUCGAAUCUUUGAACGCACAUUGCGCCCUCUGGUAUUCCGGGGGGCAUGCCUGUUCGAGCGUCAUUU
rnacentral:rRNA from 6 species